UGGGGUUGUGAUUUCAGGCUU
rnacentral:miRNA from 1 species